UUGAACGCUGGCGGCAUGCCUUACACAUGCAAGUCGAACGGUAACAGGGAGCUUGCUCCGCUGACGAGUGGCGAACGGGUGAGUAAUGUAUCGGAACGUACCAUUGAGUGGGGGAUAACGUAGCGAAAGUUACGCUAAUACCGCAUAUUCUCUCCGGAGGAAAGCAGGGGACCGCAAGGCCUUGCGCUCUUUGAGCGGCCGAUAUCAGAUUAGCUAGUUGGUGGGGUAAAAGCUUACCAAGCCGACGAUCUGUAGCUGGUCUGAGAGGACGACCAGCCACACUGGGACUGAGACACGGCGCAGACUCCUACGGGAGGCAGCAGUGGGGAAUUUUGGACAAUGGGCGAAAGCCUGAUCCAGCCAUGCCGCGUGCAGGAUGAAGGCCUUCGGGUUGUAAACUGCUUUUGUACGGAACGAAAAGACUCCUUCUAAUAAAGGGGGUCCAUGACGGUACCGUAAGAAUAAGCACCGGCUAACUACGU
rnacentral:rRNA from 1 species